rnacentral:tRNA from 1 species
GGGGCUAUGGGGUAGUUUGGCUAUCCUUACCGGUUUGGGGCCGGUGGACCCCAGUUCGAAUCUGGGUAGCCCCA